rnacentral:pre_miRNA from 1 species
CUUGUACUCCCUCCGUCUGAAAAUACUUGUCAUUGAAAUGGAUGUAUCUAGAUGUAUUUUAGUUCUAGACACAUCCGUUUUGAUGACAAGUAAUUCCGGACGGAGGGAGUACUUG